GUUUCAGCAGCCGCGGUAAUACGAAGGGGGCUAGCGUUGCUCGGAUUUACUGGGCGUAAAGGGCGCGUAGGCGGCCCUGUUUGUCCGGCGUGAAAUCCCAGGGCUCAACCUUGGGGCUGCGCUGGAUACGGCGGGGCUUGAGGCGAGGAGAGGGUCGUGGAAUUCCCAGUGUAGAGGUGAAAUUCGUAGAUAUUGGGAAGAACACCGGUGGCGAAGGCGGCGACCUGGCCUUGAUCUGACGCUGAGGCGCGACAGCGUGGGGAGCAAACAGGAUUAGAAACCCCCGUAGUCC
rnacentral:rRNA from 1 species